rnacentral:rRNA from 1 species
UUGGGGGGGUGCCUAAUACAUGCAAGUCGAGCGGUAACAGGAGAAAGCUUGCUUUCUUGCUGACGAGCGGCGGACGGGUGAGUAAUGUAUGGGGAUCUGCCCGAUAGAGGGGGAUAACUACUGGAAACGGUGGCUAAUACCGCAUGACGUCUACGGACCAAAGCAGGGGCUCUUCGGACCUUGCGCUAUCGGAUGAACCCAUAUGGGAUUAGCUAGUAGGUGAGGUAAUGGCUCACCUAGGCGACGAUCUCUAGCUGGUCUGAGAGGAUGAUCAGCCACACUGGGACUGAGACACGGUCCAGACUCCUACGGGA